rnacentral:rRNA from 1 species
AUGAACGCUAGCUACAGGCUUAACACAUGCAAGUCGAGGGGCAGCAUUUUAGUUUGCUUGCAAACUAAAGAUGGCGACCGGCGCACGGGUGAGUAACACGUAUCCAACCUGCCGAUAACUCGGGGAUAGCCUUUCGAAAGAAAGAUUAAUAUCCGAUAGUAUAUUAAAACCGCAUGGUUUUACUAUUAAAGAAUUUCGGUUAUCGAUGGGGAUGCGUUCCAUUAGUUUGUUGGCGGGGUAACGGCCCACCAAGACUACGAUGGAUAGGGGUUCUGAGAGGAAGGUCCCCCACAUUGGAACUGAGACACGGUCCAAACUCCUACGGGAGGCAGCAGUGAGGAAUAUUGGUCAAUGGACGAGAGUCUGAACCAGCCAAGUAGCGUGAAGGAUGACUGCCCUAUGGGUUGUAAACUUCUUUUAUAUGGGAAUAAAGUAUUCCACGUGUGGGAUUUUGUAUGUACCAUAUAAAUAAGGUUCGGCUAACUCCGUGCCAGCAGCCGCGGUAAUACGGAGGAUCCGAGCGUUAUCCGGAUUUAUUGGGUUUAAAGGGAGCGUAGGUGGAUUGUUAAGUCAGUUGUGAAAGUUUGCGGCUCAACCGUAAAAUUGCAGUUGAAACUGGCAGUCUUGAGUACAGUAGAGGUGGGCGGAAUUCGUGGUGUAGCGGUGAAAUGCUUAGAUAUCACGAAGAACUCCGAUUGCGAAGGCAGCUCACUAGACUGCAACUGACACUGAGGCUCGAAAGUGUGGGUAUCAAACAGGAUUAGAUACCCUGGUAGUCCACACAGUAAACGAUGAAUACUCGCUGUUUGCGAUAUACAGUAAGCGGCCAAGCGAAAGCAUUAAGUAUUCCACCUGGGGAGUACGCCGGCAACGGUGAAACUCAAAGGAAUUGACGGGGGCCCGCACAAGCGGAGGAACAUGUGGUUUAAUUCGAUGAUACGCGAGGAACCUUACCCGGGCUUAAAUUGCAUUUGAAUAAUCUGGAAACAGGUUAGCCGCAAGGCAAAUGUGAAGGUGCUGCAUGGUUGUCGUCAGCUCGUGCCGUGAGGUGUCGGCUUAAGUGCCAUAACGAGCGCAACCCUUAUCUUUAGUUACUAACAGGUCAUGCUGAGGACUCUAGAGAGACUGCCGUCGUAAGAUGUGAGGAAGGUGGGGAUGACGUCAAAUCAGCACGGCCCUUACGUCCGGGGCUACACACGUGUUACAAUGGGGGGUACAGAAGGCAGCUACCUGGCGACAGGAUGCUAAUCCCAAAAACCUCUCUCAGUUCGGAUCGAAGUCUGCAACCCGACUUCGUGAAGCUGGAUUCGCUAGUAAUCGCGCAUCAGCCAUGGCGCGGUGAAUACGUUCCCGGGCCUUGUACACACCGCCCGUCAAGCCAUGAAAGCCGGGGGUACCUGAAGUACGUAACCGCAAGGAGCGUCCUAGGGUAAAACUGGUAAUUGGGGCU